GAUGAACGCUGGCGGCGUGCCUAAUACAUGCAAGUCGAGCGGACAGACGAGGAGCUUGCUCCUCUGACGUUAGCGGCGGACGGGUGAGUCACACGUGGAUAACCUACCUAUAAGACUGGGAUAACUUCGGGAAACCGGAGCUAAUACCGGAUAAUAUAUUGAACCGCAUGGUUCAAUAGUGAAAGACGGUUUUGCUGUCACUUAUAGAUGGAUCCGCGCCGCAUUAGCUAGUUGGUAAGGUAACGGCUUACCAAGGCGACGAUGCGUAGCCGACCUGAGAGGGUGAUCGGCCACACUGGAACUGAGACACGGUCCAGACUCCUACGGGAGGCAGCAGUAGGGAAUCUUCCGCAAUGGGCGAAAGCCUGACGGAGCAACGCCGCGUGAGUGAUGAAGGUCUUCGGAUCGUAAAACUCUGUUAUUAGGGAAGAACAAAUGUGUAAGUAUCUAUGCACGUCUUGACGGUACCUAAUCAAAAAGCCACGGCUAACUACGUG
rnacentral:rRNA from 1 species